rnacentral:rRNA from 1 species
GAUGAACGCUAGCGGGAGGCCUAACACAUGCAAGCCGAGCGGUAUUGUUUCUUCGGAAAUGAGAGAGCGGCGUACGGGUGCGGAACACGUGUGCAACCUGCCUUUAUCUGGGGGAUAGCCUUUCGAAAGGAAGAUUAAUACUCCAUAAUAUAUUGAACGGCAUCGUUUAAUAUUGAAAGCUCCGGCGGAUAGAGAUGGGCACGCGCAAGAUUAGCUAGUUGGUGAGGUAACGGCUCACCAAGGCGAUGAUCUUUAGGGGGCCUGAGAGGGUGAUCCCCCACACUGGUACUGAGACACGGACCAGACUCCUAUGGGAGGCAGCAGUGAGGAAUAUUGGUCAAUGGGUGCAAGCCUGAACCAGCCAUCCCGCGUGAAGGACGACUGCCCUAUGGGUUGUAAACUUCUUUUGUAUAGGGAUAAACCUACCCUCGUGAGGGUAGCUGAAGGUACUAUACGAAUAAGCACCGGCUAACUCCGUGCCAGCAGCCGCGGUAAUACGGAGGGUGCAAGCGUUAUCCGGAUUUAUUGGGUUUAAAGGGUCCGUAGGCGGACUUAUAAGUCAGUGGUGAAAGCCUGUCGCUUAACGAUAGAACUGCCAUUGAUACUGUAAGUCUUGAGUAUAUUUGAGGUAGCUGGAAUAAGUAGUGUAGCGGUGAAAUGCAUAGAUAUUACUUAGAACACCAAUUGCGAAGGCAGGUUACCAAGAUAUAACUGACGCUGAGGGACGAAAGCGUGGGGAGCGAACAGGAUUAGAUACCCUGGUAGUCCACGCCGUAAACGAUGCUAACUCGUUUUUGGGCUUUAGGGUUCAGAGACCAAGCGAAAGUGAUAAGUUAGCCACCUGGGGAGUACGCUCGCAAGAGUGAGACUCAAAGGAAUUGACGGGGGCCCGCACAAGCGGUGGAUUAUGUGGUUUAAUUCGAUGAUACGCGAGGAACCUUACCAAGACUUAAAUGGGAAUUGACAGCUUUAGAAAUAGAGCUUUCUUCGGACAAUUUUCAAGGUGCUGCAUGGUUGUCGUCAGCUCGUGCCGUGAGGUGUUAGGUUAAGUCCUGCAACGAGCGCAACCCCUGUCACUAGUUGCCAUCAUUCAGUUGGGGACUCUAGUGAGACUGCCUACGCAAGUAGAGAGGAAGGUGGGGAUGACGUCAAAUCAUCACGGCCCUUACGUCUUGGGCCACACACGUAAUACAAUGGCCGGUACAGAGGGCAGCUACACAGCGAUGUGAUGCAAAUCUCGAAAGCCGGUCUCAGUUCGGAUUGGAGUCUGCAACUCGACUCUAUGAAGCUGGAAUCGCUAGUAAUCGCGCAUCAGCCAUGGCGCGGUGAAUACGUUCCCGGGCCU